UCCCAUCAUUCCCACAUAGCGUACGCCUAGUCUCCUUGAAAUCAGGACAUCUUGAGGUAAAAUACAAGGGGCCAUUUUGAAUUUCUAAAGUUCAGCGUCCCACAUGGAGGAUAUUAACAUUCCAUAAACUUCUUUUUCAUGAUGGACGAGAGGAGGCAGGGUGUGUGUAACAGGAUUGGCACAAUGCUUGCAUUCCUCCAGAGGAACUUUGUUAAACAACCAGGAGGGCCCUCAUAGCCAGAGGGGUUUCAGUGUAUGUGUGUGUCUGUGUGUGUGUGUGUGUGUGUGUGUGUGUGUGUGUGUGUGUGUGUGUGUGUGUGUGUGUGUGUGUGUGUGUGUGUGUGUGUGUGUGGUGGGAGAGUCAGGAUGAGAGCCAAGGCCACCCGUCCCUCCCUCCCUCCCUUCUAGCCUGUGAUCCCUCUCUACAGAGAAAUGGUCGGGACUUUGUGGAAUCCUAACAGUCACAUUGAGAGGAUGCCAGCUUUUCUCUGGCACCAACAGAUUUCUCUCUCUCUAGUGAGUCCUUUGUCCUACAGGGAAGGAUGCAGUUAUGCCAAAUGUACUCGUCAACAAGCGAGGACAGCAUGUGAGCCAUUGGAGAAUGCGGUUUUGAAUAUUUAGAAAACACAUUUAUAUAUGUUUAGAAACAGUUACAUUCCAUCUUGGGUAUUUCAUCUCCUAUAUAACUUGCAAACAAGUUAUAUACUGUAGGACUACCAAUCCACACUUCUGUUUCAUUCACCAAUCACAACAUUGACGUGCUCAAAAUACGUUCCUCAUCCAGAAAUACAGACGUUCUAAUGGGUACAAAAGGAGACUGUCAGGGAGGAAUCUGAGCAGCAAUAACUUGGCUUGAUGACACAGUACGUUUCUAAAGGGCUUUAUAGGCACUAACUCACACGACAACACUGUAGAGUUGAGUCAGUGGGCUCAGAGACACACCUAAACCACCCUGGACUAAUCACACACAUUAACUCUCCAACAGACUGUCACCAAUCGCAUUUACAGUGCAUCUUUCCAACAGGUCCGUCUGAAAAGACACACAAAGCUAGAGAAUUGCAACACUAAUAUUCCUAGACUUAGAGCAACCUGGACCCUCUGGUCAGUCACUGACCGCUCCAGAGGUGAGCCGUCCCUCUGGUCAGUCACUGACCGCUCCAGAGGUGAGCCGUCCCUCUGGUCAGUCACUGACCGCUCCAGAGGUGAGCCGUCCCUCUGGUCAGGUAUUUGGAGACUGGAUGGUCAGGAGGGCCAGAGACCUGGUCCAGGUAUUCGGAGACUGGAUGGUCAGGAGGGCCAGAGUCCUGGUCCAGGUAUUUGGAGACUGGACGGUCAGGAGGGCCAGAGUCCUGGUCCAGGUAUUUGGAGACUGGACGGUCAGGAGAGCCAGAGUCCUGGUCCAGGUAUUUGGGGACUGGAUGGUCAGGAGGGCCCAGAGUCCUG
rnacentral:lncRNA from 1 species